AUUGAACGCUGGCGGCAUGCCUUACACAUGCAAGUCGAACGGUAACGCGGGGCAACCUGGCGACGAGUGGCGAACGGGUGAGUAAUGUAUCGGAACGUGCCCAGUUGUGGGGGAUAACUGCUCGAAAGAGCAGCUAAUACCGCAUACGACCUGAGGGUGAAAGCGGGGGAUCGCAAGACCUCGCGCAAUUGGAGCGGCCGAUAUCAGAUUAGGUAGUUGGUGGGGUAAAGGCCCACCAAGCCAACGAUCUGUAGCUGGUCUGAGAGGACGACCAGCCACACUGGGACUGGGACACGGCCCAGAAUCCUACGGGAGGCAGCAGUGGGGAAUUUUGGACAAUGGACGCAAGUCUGAUCCAGCCAUGCCGCGUGCGGGAAGAAGGCCUUCGGGUUGUAAACCGCUUUUGUCAGGGAAGAAAAGGGCGACUCUAAUACAGUUGCCUCAUGACGGUACCUGAAGAAUAAGCACCGGCUAACUACGUGCCAGCCGCCGCAGUAAAAC
rnacentral:rRNA from 1 species